rnacentral:rRNA from 1 species
GAUGAACGCUGACAGAAUGCUUAACACAUGCAAGUCAACUUGAACUUCGGUUUGGGUGGCGGAUGGGUGAGUAACGCGUAAAGAACUUGCCUCACAGAUAGGGACAACAUUUGGAAACGAAUGCUAAUACCUGAUAUUAUGAUUUUAGGGCAUCCUAGGAUUAUGAAAGCUAUAUGCGCUGUGAGAGAGCUUUGCGUCCCAUUAGCUAGUGGGAGAGGUAACGGCUCACCAAGGCGAUGAUGGGUAGCCGGCCUGGGAGGGUGAUCGGCCACAAGGGGACUGAGACACGGCCCUUACUCCUACGGGAGGCAGCAGUGGGGAAUAUUGGACAAUGGACCAAGAGUCUGAUCCAGCAAUUCUGUGUGCACGAUGAAGUUUUUCGGAAUGUAAAGUGCUUUCAGUUGGGAAGAAAAAAAUGACGGUACCAACAGAAGAAGUGACGGCUAAAUACGUG